rnacentral:tRNA from 1 species
AAGAAUAGAGCUCGUAAAAUGGGAGAGUUUGAGUAUCUUAUUGUUACUAGGAUGGAUGGAGAUUUCCCAACUCCUUUUCUUU